GAGUUUGAUCAUGGCUCAGGAUGAACGCUGGCGGCGUGCCUUAGGCAUGCAAGUCGAAUGGUCCGAUUUUAUCGGACCAUGGCAAACGGGUGAGUAACGCGUAGGAAUCUACCCUAAAGUGGGGAAUAACUUCGAGAAAUCGAGGCUAAUACCGCAUGUGUCACAUUCAGUUACAUGAAUGUGACAAAGAACAUAACUGUUCGCUUUAGGAGGAGCCUGCGUCCUAUCAGCUUGUUGGUGAGGUAAUGGCUCACCAAGGCGAUGACAGGUAGGGGGCGUGAGAGCGUGGUCCCCCACAAGGUCACUGAGAAACGGGGCCUACACCUACGGGUGGCAGCAACCGGGAAUAUUGCGCAAUGGACGAAAGUCUGACGCAGCGACGCCGCGUGGAGGAUGAAUGCCUUAGGGUUGUAAACUCCUUUUAUAAGGGAAUAAGUUCUGAAGGUACCUUAUGAAUAAGCACCUGCUAACUACGUGCCAGAAGCCUCGGUAAUACGUAGGGUGCAAGCGUUAUCCGGAUUUAUUGGGCGUAAAGCGUUUCGCAGGCGACUCAGUACAUCUUGCCUCAAAGCCUGGGGCUUAACUCCAGAGAGGGGUAAGAGAUGGCUGGGAUAGAAUCAAGUCGGGGAUACUGGAAUUUGCAGUGGAGGGGUGAAAUCCGUUGAGAUUGCAAAGAACACCAAGGGCGAAGGCAGGUAUCUAGACUUUGAUUGACGCUCAGGUACGAAAGCUAGGGUAGCGAAAGGGAUUAGAGACCCCUGUAGUCCUAUGCUGUAAACGAUGUCUGCUAGUUGUUCUAAUUAAUAGGGUGGCGUAAGCUAACGCGUUAAGCAGACCGCCUGGGAAGUACGGCCGCAAGGCUGAAACUCAAAGGAAUUGACGGGAAGGCGCACAACCAGUGGAGCAUGUGGUUUAAUUCGAUACGAAGCGAAGGACCUUACCUGGGCUUGACAUUCUACUGCACGGUCCGAGAAAUCGGACAAGCUUUCGAAGGUGUAGAACAGCUGCUGCAUGGCUGUCGUCAGUUCGUGUCGUGAGAUGUCCACUUAAGUGUGGUAACGAACGCAACCCUUAUCCUAUGUUAUAUUUUCACAUAGGAGACUGCUCUAGUUAGACUAGGGAGGAAGGAGAGGAUGACGUCAAGUCAGCACGGCGCUUAUGUCCAGGGCGACACACAUCCUACAAUGGGAAGUACAGACGGUUGCGAAGCGGUAACGCUAUAGCUAAUCCUAAAAAACUUCCCUCAGUUCAGAUUGAGGGCUGCAACCCGCCCUCAUGAAGUUGGAAUUGGUAGUAAUCGCAGGUCAGCAGACUGCGGUGAAUACGUUCUCGCCUUUUGUACACACUGCCCGUCAAGUGAGGAGAGUUGGGGGUGCCCGAAGUAGUUUUUUUAACCC
rnacentral:rRNA from 1 species